rfam:Felis catus isolate Cinnamon breed Abyssinian chromosome B2, whole genome shotgun sequence.
GGUUCCAUGGUGUAGUGGUUAGCACGUCUGCCUUACACGCAGAAGACCCUGGGUUCGAUUCCCAGUGGAACCA